AUGUGGUGUCAAUCAGCAUGUGGGAAACAAUGUCCAUGUCCUAUAAAUGGGGCAUGCUGUGAGAAAUAUUGUGGGGCCUGGCGGAAAGGAAUUAAGAUGUACACUGGCAAGAAGAAGAUCCAGAAGGACAAGGGCGUCGAGACCUCUGAAUUCGAGGAUACCAUCGCGCAGGGGCUCACCACAAAUCACUUGCAAGAAGGGCUCAGUUCGAAAACUAAGGUUAUGCUUCACCAAGGAUUUGAAGGGUCCCUCGCCGUGCCGUGGACACGAUUCAGCCAUGCUGGAGCAGUGUGCGAACGAGCCACGAGCCGACGUGGUGGGGUGGCUUGGCUGGUCUUGCUCUGGCGAGCCACCGCCGACGCUGCCCGUCUCGAUCUCGCCCCGUGUCUCCUUCAAGCUGUGGUGUUGGACGUUGAGGACAACAAAGAAAGCAGUGGAACUGCAGUCCAUCCACGUUUGAGAGUUGUGCUUGUGCACAUUGGUAAAAUAGCUAAGUUGCAGGUUGUUAGAAGUUCUACGGUUCCACUUAUAUGGAAAGAGACAAGAUUCAUCUUCAUUGCUUGUCACGGAUUUCGAUUCUUCACAUAA
rnacentral:rRNA from 1 species